rnacentral:rRNA from 1 species
CGAACGCUGGCGGCAUGCCUAACACAUGCAAGUCGACCGAUUGCCUUCGGGUGAUAGUGGCGCACGGGUGCGUAACGCGUGGGAAUCUGCCCUUAGGUUCGGAAUAACAGCUGGAAACGGCUGCUAAUACCGGAUGAUAUCGCGAGAUCAAAGAUUUAUCGCCUGAGGAUGAGCCCGCGUUGGAUUAGGUAGUUGGUGGGGUAAAGGCCUACCAAGCAGACGAUCCAUAGCUGGUCUGAGAGGAUGAUCAGCCACACUGGGACUGAGACACGGCCCAGACUCCUACGGGAGGCAGCAGUGGGGAAUAUUGGACAAUGGGCGCAAGCCUGAUCCAGCAAUGCCGCGUGAGUGAUGAAGGCCCUAGGGUUGUAAAGCUCUUUUACCCGGGAAGAUAAUGACUGUACCGGGAGAAUAAGCCCCGGCUAACUCCGUG